UCCCUAUUAACUAGGGCAGUUUCCUGUGAAAAAUACAACACAGGAUAGGGGUUGCGCUCGUUAACCGACUGAACGGGACACUUCACAGCACGAGCUGACGACGACCGUGCAGCACCUGUCAUCUGGCUCCUUGCGGCACGGCCCUGUUUCCAGGGCUUUCCAGAGAUGUCAAAUCUUGGUAAGGUUCUUCGCUUGCUGACGAAUUAAACCACACGCUCCACCGCUUGUGCAGGUCCCCGUCAAUUCCUUUGAGUUUUAAGCUUGCGCUCGUAGUCCCCAGGCGGCCGAUUUAACGCGUUAGCUUCGCCCCAAGAGGGGGUCGAUACCCUCCAAGGGCUAAUCGGCAUCGUUUACAGCGUGGACUA
rnacentral:misc_RNA from 1 species